rnacentral:rRNA from 1 species
CUACGGGAGGCAGCAGUCGAGAAUCAUUCACAAUGGGGGAAACCCUGAUGGUGCGACGCCGCGUGGGGGAAUGAAGGUCUUCGGAUUGUAAACCCCUGUCAUGUGGGGGCAAAUUAAAAAGAUAGUACCACAAGAGGAAGAGACGGCUAACUCUGUGCCAGCAGCCGCGGUAAUACAGAGGUCUCAAGCGUUGUUCGGAAUCACUGGGCGUAAAGCGUGCGUAGGCUGUUUCGUAAGUCGUGUGUGAAAGGCGCGGGCUCAACCCGCGGACGGCACAUGAUACUGCGAGACUAGAGUAAUGGAGG